rnacentral:misc_RNA from 1 species
GUAAACUUCUCAAGUUCAAUGAACGCAUAAUUAAAAUUUCAGAGUACAAAUUUUAAGCCCGAAGGAAAUUUAUGGUAAAAGGAAACGCUCUACAAAUCAAUUUUUUUUCUUAAUGCCUUCCUAGGGUGACCGAGUAGGCCUGAACAAAUGCGAGGUAGAAUUGUUGUGAUUAUAAACGUGUAAAACAGUAUAUGAUACAUUUAUAUUUACAAAAUUAACGGAGGGUUGCUGAAAUGGAUGUUGAGAGAUAUGGCCUCCGAUGGUAUACUUAUUAGCAACCAAGUACACGGUAUAGAUGCAUGAUAGAUUCAGUAAGAGGCAAUCUACACAUUUGCAAAAUUAAAGCUGGAUGAGUCUUCCCCAGUGCUCAAGCUGAGCUGCUGGCUGUUAAAAGUGCAUCAGCUCAGCUUGGGAAGCAGUCCUUUCCACAGCUAUCCACCAGUUGUCAUCUUCAUCAAUGUUGUUCACGGUGCUAAGCUCCACUGUUUUCCGCUUGCUUUCUAUAUCAUCGGCAACUUUUACAGCUUCAAGCCACCAAGAAUCUUUAGUGAAGUUGUCUGUAUCAUGGUCAUCAUUGUAAAGCAGAACACCUCCACAAUUGUUGUUAACAGAUUGAUACUCAAGGUUAUCAUUUGAUAAUCCCAUAUGAUGUACCACUUGCACUGGGUCAUAGGAAAAUGAAGGAUCAGGGAUCAAAUUUAUCGGGAUCGGUCGUAAGGGAGAUCGGUAACCUUGGCAAUCUGGAUCGUGACAUUUCUGAUAAUAAAUGGCCCUUCUCAGGUCAACAACAUAUAUAACUGAACCAAAAAGAGAUGAUUCUCAUGAGCUUGUUUCUUUUAUAUAAAGUCGACAUGGGAAAUUCCAACACAGUGGAAACUAAGUCUGCAUAACCACAAAGAGAAGUUUCAAGUAAUAUCUUCAAAAUAUUUUAGCUGUCACACAUUUACAGCUACACAAGCGAGUUUCUGAAUUGCUGAAUUAAAAUAAACAAGAAAAAUUGCAGAGAUAUAUUUUACUUGCAGCUAAAAAGAUAUAAGAUCAAAGAAGACACACCGUGAUUGCUUUUAUGCUGUCUACCAAUUCGUUCACAAUAUCUAUUUCUUGACAUGCUAUAGACCAUCAAUCCAUACUCUGAAAACCAAUACCAGCUUCGGAUUUUCCCUGAUUGGCGGAUAGUGUCAGCAAGGUAAUGAAGGAGAUAAAAAUUCGUGAAGCAUUAGAUUUCCAAAUCCCUAACGAAUUAACCUAAGAGAAGGAAUAGACUUGUUUCCAGUUAGUGUUCUUUGCUAAAGUUAAAAGAACCAGGUAGCUCCUUAAAAUGGAGAAUUUGAAGGAAUACUGUAGCAUGGACUGCUUGCAAAUCUUGUUAGAUUAAACUCAAGUUUCUUAGAACUAGAAAGGAGAAUCUGGCAAUAGGUGAAAUUAAGAAGGAACACAGAAAAAAAAGGAAGGAAUCUCAAAAAAAAAUCCAACAGAACAGUUUUAAGAGGCUCUGCCAUUUGUGCAAGGCAAAGUACUAGAAAAAUUUAAGCUUUCAAAAUUGUUACUCAUAUAGAACAUGCUUAACUCAAGAACACAAUAUAAUUGAAAAUAGCACAACCUGAUACACUUCCAAUGGAGGCAAUAGAUUCUACAAAAUUGUCCAAAUACGGGAAUGGCGACUUUCCAGUUGUGUAUGUUGUUGAUGCAUCAUUUCCUUGAGAGGUAUUGAACCUUCUAGAACAAUAAUUUGUCUCUGUAUCAAAAUGCAGGGUCUUCACACAAUCUAAGUCCAUUUUGCAGACUAAAAGCUUCUCACAAUCAGCAUCCAUAUUGCAGAUCAAGGAAGCCAUGAACAUGUCUUCUUCACACAUGUCCUUACAUUUGAAGCGCCCAGUUGGUAGAAGGACUGCACUCUUUCCUGCCUUGGAUGACAAAGCUAAACGAAAGACACGAUUUCUAGAAUAGACAGCAGUGUCUACAAAAAGUUGGCUUGGAGAUUCAGAAGUUGAAUCUUUUCUUACAAAUAGUUUUUCAUAUCCUUCAUCUCUCUCCCUCGCACUUGAGAUCCGAGAGCAUAUCUGACAAUAUAUCAUCACAUGGUGACAACAGUUGAUACUUCUACAAGAAAAGGAGAGAGUUCUAGUGACAAACACAGAUUCCUGAAUGUUGUAUAAACUGUAUACAUGGGACAUGAUUUUCCAGACACCAUAUUCCAUAAGACGUAAGACACAGUUAAUAUGCCUAUUCUCUAAGGGGUACCUCUGAAACAAAUGCACCAGCAUGAGAGUUGUCCUUAAAAGCAGCCUUUGGUAUGCGGAUGAUCAAGUGCCGUGAGAACUUUUCUGCAGUGGAGGAAUCGAGCUCCACUAUCCACUCAAGGUUUCCUUGAAUAGAAUAUUUUUCAAGUAAUGCUUCUAGAAUGACUGAUGUCAAGAGAUCAACCAUUUCAUCUCCAUGUCUUUCUGCAUUUUCUCUUUUACUGAACUCCAAAUCAAAAUACAGGUGGCAUGGUAAACCCUCCUGAAUCACUUCAUAAUGGUGGCGAAAUUUGGAAUCCAUGCUUUUGUACCUCCUCCAGAACUCCUUGUAUGUGGAAACAAGGAACCUUCUUUGUCCGUUAUGGUGAUCUUGAUAACUAAAGACACACACAUUCCCGUGCUCUUUUGCAAAGUUCAUCGCUUCAUUCUGCCUUGGAAAUGUAGCCCAUACUUCCUUCCUCAAGUUUGAUUUUUGUUGUUCUGCAAGAUCGAUACGUAUUUCACGUAGCAGUCGCAACAAACUGAUUGGCCUUUUUGGAGGAACACCAUGUGGAGACCCAUAAAACACAAAGGGAGAAAUCUGCCUCCCAUGGCUAAAGUUGUUUGCUUUAACUGUUGUUGAACCAAACUAAGGAAAUAAUGAUAAAAACAAUUAAAUGAUUAAGCUUUGCAGAAUAAUGAAAAUCAUAACAUGGACUUCUGAACUUCAAGUAAAAAAGAAAAACAACCCAAUAUCAGUUCAAAGAAGACAAACUGUACUACAUAAAGAAAAGAACAAAGAGGUAUAUAAGGUUUGUCUUCACCAGUAGUAAUUGGAACUACUAAUUUCAACAUAGUCACUUAACUUUAAUUUGUUACAUAAAAAUACUCAACUUCAAUCUGUGUGUCAAUAAGGUCACCAUUGAGAGAUUUGAAAAUGGAGGUUUAUCUGAAAAAAUUUUUCAUGGAAGCCAAAUAAGAAAGUCCUAUGCCUCACCUUUAAUUUUACAACUACAUUAGAAAUCGUGCCAAAUUUCUAGUGACCUUAUUGAAAUGCAAACUAAAGUUAAGUGCUAUUUGUGAUAAAUUUAAAAGUUAACAACUGCAUUGAAAUUUAGUGAUAAGUCUAGUGAAAACUGAUGAAAUUAAACCAGCACAAACUAAAAAUAGAAAUGAAACCUGUGUGAGUGUAUGCUAAAAUUCGAUAUUUCUGAAUCACGCAACAUAUAAAGGACAUCAGACUAGGUAGCAUGCAGAAACAAGUUUUUGCAUGAUAUAAUGGAUAACAAUUACCAACACAACAUACAAGCAUGAAAGGGAAAAAAAAAGCCAAACUACAAACUUUCUCCCCAGAGAGCUGUGCAUCCAUUGCAUUCUUCUUCUUGGGUUGCAUGGCUGAUCCUGGUGAUGGAGUACCAGAAGCUGGUGAUACUUCGUGUAUUUCAUUCCCUUGCUUCGAUUUGCUCUUGCUUCUCUUUCUUAUUCUUAGGGCAGAUUGAGGAGGAGAGAGGCCACACUUGAAGCAUUCAAACAACCGAUCCACGUCGUCCAUCGGGUUCAUUGACAUUUUCCCCAAAUUUGUUUUCCCUUCUUUUUAACAUACGUUGGGUAGAAUAAGC